AGCGAACGCUAGCGGCGGGCUUAACACAUGCAAGUCGAGCGGAGAGCUUCGGCUCUCAGCGGCGAACGGGUGAGUAACACGUAGGUAACGUGCCCUUUGAUGGGGAAUAACCUAGGGAAACCUGGGCUAAUACCGCAUAUGUCCUUUGGGAUGAAAGCCUUCGGGCGUCAGAGGAUCGGCCUGCGGCCCAUUAUUUAAUCCUAGUUGGUAGGGUAAUGGCCUACCAAGGGUACGAUGGGUAGCUGGUCUGAGAGGAUGAUCAGCCACACUGGAACUGAGACACGGUUCAGACUCCUACGGGAGGCAGCAGUGGGGAAUAUUGGACAAUGGGCGAAAGCCUGAUCCAGCCACGCCGCGUGGGUGAUGAAGGCCUCGGUUGU
rnacentral:rRNA from 1 species